AAUCUCUAAUAGAUAUUAAAUACAAAAAAGGACAAAAUCUACAAUAUUAGUUAUAACACAGCGCUGUAGAAUUCUCAAUACUGAUUAAUCGGAAGGUGUGGAUUAAUUUUCUAUAAUAGCAGCUCUGACAGUAGUUCCUGGCUGCAAGGCAAGGCGCAGGUUUAUAUUAACGCACUCAUUCUAACAUGGUAAUGGAUCAACAACAUCAUGCUACCCUGAGGCAUGAAUUCAUUUAAUUUGUAUAGACACAUUUAUGCAUUAAGAGAAUAUGAAAAUAAAAAGUCACAUACGUUAAUAACAUAUAUUGGUUCAGAUAUGCAUGAUUGCAUCAAAUUUACUCUAAUAUAAGGAGUGUCUAUGCAAAUGUCCUUCCCUGUUAUAUAUUUAAGCAAUGAAGACCAAGAGCUUUUACUUAUUCUGCUUCAACACACACCAUGAUCUCUACAUCUCUACUACUGCUGCUGCUGGCAGCCGUACACUGUGUUCACUGUGUUGAGCUGAUCCAGCCCGGAUCCACAGUAUUAACCCCUGGUCAGUCAAUGACUCUGACCUGUAAAGUGUCUGGAUAUUCAUUAACUGAUAGCAGCUACUGUACAGGCUGGAUACGACAACCUGCAGGAAAAGCUCUGGAGUGGGUCGCAUUAGCAUGUGGUAGUGGUAGCAAUUACUACAGUGAGAAACUGAAAAGCAGGUUUCAGGUUUCGAGAGACACGUCCAGCAGCACAGUAACAUUAACGGGGCAGAACAUGCAGACUGAAGACACAGCUGUGUAUUACUGCGCUCGUUACUACAGUGAGACAGAUCAACAACAUCCCUGUACAAAAACACCCAGUGCAGAAAACUCACCAGUACAUACUGUGUUCACUGACACUUUUUCAUGAAUAGUGUAUAUUAUUACUAACAUGCAUAAAAUCAGUUGUUUCUAUCAGUACAGUGAUGAAUACUGUGUGUAAUUAUUUUUCCAUUUAACUAAAUAUAAUAUUGCAUUUUUCUUUGGUUUGUACAGUAGGUGUGCACGUUAAACAGUUAAGCAAGUAGAUUGCAAAUUUGUAAGAGUGUUAUUGUAGGUGUGCUUCUCCAGCAGUUAUGGUAGUUUACUUGUUAUUUAGUGUUUUUAUGGGAGCAGUCUGAGAAACUAGAAAGCACAAACUCCUCUGUCCUGAAGAGUUACUUACUGUUACAAAAUGCUGACACUGGAGACUCCUUCCAUAAAUAUUACAUAAACAUUUUCUUACAGAAAGCUUCAUUAUACUGUACCAGUUAUUAGACCUUUUGUAUUGUUAAAUAACAGCAUAUUUUCUAAUCUGUUUAUUAUUCAUAUUAGAUGAUGUGGAGAGGUCUUCAAACAAG